GGAGGAGUACCCAAGUCUGGCUGAAGGGAGCGGUCUUGAAAACCGCCAGGGGGGGCUUCAUCGCCCGCGGGGGGGGUUCGAAUCCCUCCUCCUCCU
rnacentral:tRNA from 1 species